GGGUUGUGAGGUUAAGCGACUAAGCGUACACGGUGGAUGCCCUGGCAGUCAGAGGCGAUGAAGGACGUGCUAAUCUGCGAUAAGCGUCGGUGAGGUGAUAUGAACCGUUAUAACCGGCGAUUUCCGAAUGGGGAAACCCAGUGUGUUUCGACACACUAUCAUUAACUGAAUCCAUAGGUUAAUGAGGCGAACCGGGGGAACUGAAACAUCUAAGUACCCCGAGGAAAAGAAAUCAACCGAGAUUCCCCCAGUAGCGGCGAGCGAACGGGGAGCAGCCCAGAGCCUGAAUCAGUGUGUGUGUUAGUGGAAGCGUCUGGAAAGGCGUGCGAUACAGGGUGACAGCCCCGUACACAAAAAUGCACAUACUGUGAGCUCGAUGAGUAGGGCGGGACACGUGGUAUCCUGUCUGAAUAUGGGGGGACCAUCCUCCAAGGCUAAAUACUCCUGACUGACCGAUAGUGAACCAGUACCGUGAGGGAAAGGCGAAAAGAACCCCGGCGAGGGGAGUGAAAAAGAACCUGAAACCGUGUACGUACAAGCAGUGGGAGCCUCUUAAUGGGGUGACUGCGUACCUUUUGUAUAAUGGGUCAGCGACUUAUAUUCUGUAGCAAGGUUAACCGAAUAGGGGAGCCGAAGGGAAACCGAGUCUUAACUGGGCGUUAAGUUGCAGGGUAUAGACCCGAAACCCGGUGAUCUAGCCAUGGGCAGGUUGAAGGUUGGGUAACACUAACUGGAGGACCGAACCGACUAAUGUUGAAAAAUUAGCGGAUGACUUGUGGCUGGGGGUGAAAGGCCAAUCAAACCGGGAGAUAGCUGGUUCUCCCCGAAAGCUAUUUAGGUAGCGCCUCGUGAAUUCAUCUCCGGGGGUAGAGCACUGUUUCGGCAAGGGGGUCAUCCCGACUUACCAACCCGAUGCAAACUGCGAAUACCGGAGAAUGUUAUCACGGGAGACACACGGCGGGUGCUAACGUCCGUCGUGAAGAGGGAAACAACCCAGACCGCCAGCUAAGGUCCCAAAGUCAUGGUUAAGUGGGAAACGAUGUGGGAAGGCCCAGACAGCCAGGAUGUUGGCUUAGAAGCAGCCAUCAUUUAAAGAAAGCGUAAUAGCUCACUGGUCGAGUCGGCCUGCGCGGAAGAUGUAACGGGGCUAAACCAUGCACCGAAGCUGCGGCAGCGACACUAUGUGUUGUUGGGUAGGGGAGCGUUCUGUAAGCCUGCGAAGGUGUACUGUGAGGUAUGCUGGAGGUAUCAGAAGUGCGAAUGCUGACAUAAGUAACGAUAAAGCGGGUGAAAAGCCCGCUCGCCGGAAGACCAAGGGUUCCUGUCCAACGUUAAUCGGGGCAGGGUGAGUCGACCCCUAAGGCGAGGCCGAAAGGCGUAGUCGAUGGGAAACAGGUUAAUAUUCCUGUACUUGGUGUUACUGCGAAGGGGGGACGGAGAAGGCUAUGUUGGCCGGGCGACGGUUGUCCCGGUUUAAGCGUGUAGGCUGAUUUUCCAGGCAAAUCCGGAAAAUCAAGGCUGAGGCGUGAUGACGAGGCACUACGGUGCUGAAGCAACAAAUGCCCUGCUUCCAGGAAAAGCCUCUAAGCAUCAGGUAACAUCAAAUCGUACCCCAAACCGACACAGGUGGUCAGGUAGAGAAUACCAAGGCGCUUGAGAGAACUCGGGUGAAGGAACUAGGCAAAAUGGUGCCGUAACUUCGGGAGAAGGCACGCUGAUAUGUAGGUGAAGUCCCUUGCGGAUGGAGCUGAAAUCAGUCGAAGAUACCAGCUGGCUGCAACUGUUUAUUAAAAACACAGCACUGUGCAAACACGAAAGUGGACGUAUACGGUGUGACGCCUGCCCGGUGCCGGAAGGUUAAUUGAUGGGGUUAGCGGUAACGCGAAGCUCUUGAUCGAAGCCCCGGUAAACGGCGGCCGUAACUAUAACGGUCCUAAGGUAGCGAAAUUCCUUGUCGGGUAAGUUCCGACCUGCACGAAUGGCGUAAUGAUGGCCAGGCUGUCUCCACCCGAGACUCAGUGAAAUUGAACUCGCUGUGAAGAUGCAGUGUACCCGCGGCAAGACGGAAAGACCCCGUGAACCUUUACUAUAGCUUGACACUGAACAUUGAGCCUUGAUGUGUAGGAUAGGUGGGAGGCUUUGAAGUGUGGACGCCAGUCUGCAUGGAGCCGGCCUUGAAAUACCACCCUUUAAUGUUUGAUGUUCUAACGUUGGCCCCUGAUCGGGGUUGCGGACAGUGUCUGGUGGGUAGUUUGACUGGGGCGGUCUCCUCCUAAAGAGUAACGGAGGAGCACGAAGGUUGGCUAAUCCUGGUCGGACAUCAGGAGGUUAGUGCAAUGGCAUAAGCCAGCUUGACUGCGAGCGUGACGGCGCGAGCAGGUGCGAAAGCAGGUCAUAGUGAUCCGGUGGUUCUGAAUGGAAGGGCCAUCGCUCAACGGAUAAAAGGUACUCCGGGGAUAACAGGCUGAUACCGCCCAAGAGUUCAUAUCGACGGCGGUGUUUGGCACCUCGAUGUCGGCUCAUCACAUCCUGGGGCUGAAGUAGGUCCCAAGGGUAUGGCUGUUCGCCAUUUAAAGUGGUACGCGAGCUGGGUUUAGAACGUCGUGAGACAGUUCGGUCCCUAUCUGCCGUGGGCGCUGGAGAACUGAGGGGGGCUGCUCCUAGUACGAGAGGACCGGAGUGGACGCAUCACUGGUGUUCGGGUUGUCAUGCCAAUGGCACUGCCCGGUAGCUAAAUGCGGAAGAGAUAAGUGCUGAAAGCAUCUAAGCACGAAACUUGCCCCGAGAUGAGUUCUCCCUGACUCCUUGAGAGUCCUGAAGGAACGUUGAAGACGACGACGUUGAUAGGCCGGGUGUGUAAGCGCAGCGAUGCGUUGAGCUAACCGGUACUAAUGAACCGUGAGGCUUAACCUUACAACGCCGAAGGUGUUU
rnacentral:rRNA from 1 species